UUCUCUUUGGUCGCGAGACCAUGCUUUUUCCAGGUUUACUCUGAGCGUUUCCUUUCCCUCUCUUGGGAUAAAUAACGCACGGUGGCGGCUCUGUUGUUCUUGUUUUCCCGCCGGUUUUUCGCGUAAUGCGACACAGAUCAAUCCAACUAAAAAUAAGGAAGUGAUUGAAUCAGACAGUGAAUCAGAAGGUGUUGAACCUG
rnacentral:lncRNA from 1 species